GGAAUGCGCGGUGGUUGAGGAGUUUGAAGGGUGUAGCUGCACUUGAAUUCUAAUCCAUAGAAGUCCCGAGUUCGAAGUUAGUUAUGGAAAAGUUUAGCCGGUUGGUCGUUGUGCUGGCCACAUGACGCCCUCGUUAUCCGUGAGCUACAAAAAACGGAAAACCUUUACAUUACCAGACAGGGAAACUUUAUUCUUAUCUAUUAAGACAGCAGUGAUAACAUAAAAUAGUAUUCCUAUUGAGCUCUGUCUCUUGUCUGGUGUUCAUACUUAUAUUUUAUCUCUUCGUCACCUACGGUACUGUGCACUCCUAUUCCAACGCUAUCGUCGGAAAUGUUGCCUUCUUUCUGACUUUCCUAAACAUCCUCAAGGAGCAGUUUUCUGAUUCUCCAGUUCAAGAUGUUCUACUUCCAGAUACAAGCUUCCUGAAUAACUUACAAGAACACGUGAAAUAUUAUAGAGAGACCUGGACUAUAAAAGACAUUACAUUGAAGAAAGUGGAUCAAACAGAGAUACAGUCCGAUGACGACAUACUUAUUCAAUUCAAAGUACAAGGUGAUGACGACAGAAGAUGUAUAUGCAGGACCAAUUUUGUGGAAGUCCUAAAACCAUUAAAAAAUAGACAUUCAAUUACAAUUCUGCCUCAAAACAACCUAAAAGCAGAGCCUGACAAGAAUGAGCAUCGAGAAUCAACGAAAAUAUAAAGUGACGCUUAAUUCUCUCUCUGAAAUGGUCAGCAAUAAGAACAAAAUGAGCAUUCGUUUAAUUCGA
rnacentral:sRNA from 1 species